CAAAGGCAAGAGCAGGAUCAUGUUGUUCCAUGGGUCCUUCAUUCUGACGGAGUAGACUCAUCUUGCAUGGUGCCAAAGAUGAAGGGAGCUUCUGGGCACAUGUACUUUAUCUCGGAAAAGCAUUUGAUGGAGGAACUAAGGCGACUCAAUUUACGGAGGUGAAGUUGGGUUUAGAAGGUCUUGGCACGGGGCAAGAGAACGCGGAGGCGAGUACUCUUAAAGAAUAUGCCACAGUGUUGCCAUUCAAGUUGCCAUGAAGGAAGCGGUGCGCAGCGGAAAUUGUGCUGGUAGGGGCAGAGGCCCAGGAUCCAGACAAUGGUACACUAAUUGCAACGAAGUCGGGAGACUUCGGGAGCUACUAGGCGACGGACUGUCCUAGAGUGGUGCUUCGUCUAGCUGUGACCUAAGAGUGGGUGGAUUAAGGUCGAUUGCCAAAGGAGCGAACAAAAUCGAAGGUGGAAGAGACCCUGCGAUGUAUUGGCAGAGGCCACACAUGGAGGGAUCACAAUUCGAGUUCAUCCCACAAGGAUCAGAAUGUAAUGGAGAUGUCACCAGGAGGCGACAUGGUGCAGCAGAUCGUGGUGGAACAGUUCGUGGCAAUGCGAUACACAUGAAUGAGUCCCGUGAGGGACUAGAUCAUACGGAGGUAUGAUCGGGAGCUACUGGAAGCUCCACUUCGGUGAACAACACGACGACAAGAAGGGCUAUGGAUUCAAGGAGUGAAUGCCAUGGUACCGUAGAGGCGGGUCUUCCGUGCGUGCAUCGAAUUUUGCAUCGGAUGAAAGCCUUGGUCAUCAGCAUAUGAGGGCUGUGUUUCACUAAGGAAAAAGUUCAAAUACAAGUACCAGUAAGUCCUAUGGGAGGGACUUGAUCAUGCAGAAGUAUGAUCGAAGCAGCUGGAGAGUUGGACUGCUCCAGAGCCCAUAUUCGCUUAAGGGAGCCCGACAAGUCAGAGGAUAAGGUCGAGUAAGCGAACGUUGCUACCAAGGAACCUAAGGAGAACAGAAUCGGUGCAAACCCUACCACGUGAUGGCAGAGGCCAUGCAUGGGAGUUGCAAUCUGUCUUUCCAUCGACAAAAAGGGAGCUGCUUGGAGAACACAAAGGUGUUGAAGCAGAGGGUCGAAAGGGGCGAGGAAGCAACGACGAGUCCGGAGGGACUUAGCUACCCAAAAUCAAGCAUCAGUUAGAAUGGAGGUGGACUCGGAGGAGUGCUACAGAGACAUAUCUACUGAUCGUGAAGAAAAUGGAUGCAGAUGCGAGGCGACGGAUAGUAGGGCCAUGGGCAUGGUAGCGCCAUGGUACCGCAGAGGCGGGACUUCCGUGAAAGUCAUUGAUCCCUUGCUCUCAUGGAAGGAGAGCGCUUGGUCGUGAAAGGGGCCGAGGAGGUGGAGCAUGCAGAGGCAAACUCCAAGUACCGAGACAAGGCUAAAGGGUAGAGGCUAGGGAACUUCGUAAGACCAGUGUCAACAAGCUUCUCAUCAAGAUAGCCGAAAGCGAAGGCCAGUAACCAGCUCGAUGCAUGGAGUACAACCUCGAUGAGGCGGGCGAAGUCAAGUAACCUUUGCCUUCUCAACCCUUAAGAGAAUGGGCGAAACGGAGUACCCCAAUUCUCUUAUCUAUCCAGUAGAGGAGCUCUGCACAGGUUCAAAGACUCUUCGAAGAUAAUGGAAGACAAUAGUUGUCAAAUCCUCACCAACGGUGAUCAGUGCUACUGAGAGUAGAUUGUCCGCUUCAUUUCCCAACGAAAUGCCAAUCGAAAGCGGAAGUGAUGCGAACCUACUUGGAAGUGACAACUAAGUGAAAGAAGAGUCAAUAAGCAAAUUUUGUGGAGGAAGGACCCAAAACUUCAGAAGUUUGCGAGACGAUGCUCGUUAAAAGCUCUAAUAAGCAUCCACCCAGUUCAAGCAGCAUGAGGCAUUUGAGAGACUGGCGUAGUAAGGAUGGUCUUUUCCUUCAUCUGGAGGAUCCGCAGGAAUCAACAAUGAUCAACACAACUCAGCCAACCCCACACCAGAGUCAGAGUCAUUGGUGAGUUGAAGCAGCAUGUCGGCUCAAAGGUUCAACUACUAAAAAAAAACAGCAACGAAGAGCUGCUGGGAGCCAGGAGGCGCAUUGCAGCUGGAGCAGAAGAUUGAAGACUCAGCAAAGGCGAGGAGUUAUCGUGUUCACAAAGGCUUUGACGAGGACGUCGAAGGAAUAAGUGGGGGAGAAUGUCACGGACAAACUUCGAAACAGGAUGUUUGAUGUAAUGCUUAUGUAUGUCCGUGACUUUUGGUAUGUUCAUACUUUGCAUAGCAUAUAGAGGGACAACCGAAGGCUUAAUAGUCUCAUUUUAGUUGGGUUUGGUGGCCGCUUUAGACUUGUAAAUAAAGGUUAUGUCAUGUGGACGCUUGUGAGAGAUUUUCGGUCUGUAAUGGACCAUUUUGACCCUUUGUUGUGCAAUUGUUCAGAGCUUGUAAAGUCUAUGAAGUGUUUCUUGGAAUGUUUGCUUGUGGAUCCCGAGUGAGGCAUUUUCUCUCACCCGUUUUCUCUUUUGUGGGUCCUAAGGGACUAUGGGAGGCUGACCUUUGCGGACGGACACACAAGGGUGCCGCACGACUUAGGCAAAACCAGCUAAGUCCAUGACAAUGUGGCCUUUGGGUUGGAAUGUUCUCAUCUUCAGUGCUAGUUAAAAUUAGUCAAUUGAGACACAACAUUUCACAUCGAAGGAGUCUCCGUAUAUUUUUAUAUUCAUUGUGAGAAAUGGCUAGUUCAAAACAAUUAUCUUAUAUAUUGAUAGUGCCCUGUGCCCUGGAGCACUCCAUGAGUAUGAAUGACAACUUAGUAUUGAAUAAUAACUAGCGAUGACUGUGAAGCCUGUUCUUAAGUUUCAAUGGUUGUAUGGGAAAAAAAUAAUACUCUAUGAGAGCUAAAUGAUCUGUGUGUGUUUCUGUUAGUCGAGGUAAGCUCUUGAAGCAUUAACUCGAUGUUGCUACUAGAUGCAGAAAAGUGUAUCAAAUGUUCUAGAGCUUAGGACCGUAACUGCUAUUUGUCUUCAUUGAUAAGACUCCAAAGUUAGAUCAGGACAUAGUGCUCCUCAAAAUGAUCCAAGUGUCGAUACCACACUUUGGCAAGGCUAAGGUAUCAAAGGAGAAAGUGAUAGGGAUCUAUUCAUUGGUUUGGGUGUAUCAUUCAAUUGGAAAGAGGUGGGGACUUCACUCACCAUUUGUCUUCUGUGCUUCUUAUGAGAACUAAACCUCAUUUGUCAAAUAUGUACUUCGGUCAAUCAGUGGAAAGUGAAUUGCAUUUUUGUUUUCAUCUGCUGAACUGUAUUUUGCAUGCACUUGUGUUGGGAAUUGGCCAUUGUACCACCACAAUAUUUCCUAUUUGCUACAUUUGCCUUUGCCUUGCUUGUGUUUGAAGUCGAUCUCAUUCAGGUUGUUGGAUAUCAAAGGUUUGAUGAAACAUUUUACUGCAGAAUAUUAAUUGAGAUCCAUGGCUAUUCAAAGAAAGUCUCAAAAUUUCUGUUGAUGUUGCAGUUUGCAUCGUGGGAAACUCCAUUUGAGCAUGCAAAAUGCUCGCAUGAGUAGAAAUAUGUAAAUAAUUGGCUCAUCGACAGAUGGUCUUAUUAUCUUCGUUUAUUCAUCAUUCUCUUUUUUUUUGUCAAUGUGGGACUGUAACUGUGGGUGGCAGUUGAAUUACUUGGGGAGGUAAAGACACAUUUUGAGCAUUUCAUAUUGUAUAACUAGGAUUGAUGAUCUAGGUCAUUGGUUCUCAAAAACUGGUCAUAUGACACUAAUAAAAUCCUGAUGUUGUAUAGGUACAGAACAUCGACGAGGAAUUGUCUCUAGAACGGUUUGAUAAUCCUUGUAUAGAAAGUAUUUGUUACUUUUGACGCUUAGCAUUCUGUGUAUCAUACAUAGCAUUACAAUGAGAGUAAGUAUCAAUCAAUUAUGGAUUACUGUUUGUACAUAGGUCAUCAGGUACACAGGUCAUCAGGCUUCCGAUUGAACAUGAUAAUCUUGCAGGAGCAGGAUGGGUUGCUCAUCUAUACAUGAGACUUGAGAUCUUGCAGGUUCUGCAAGUCUCCUUUUACUCCAGAUCUGCUCAACUACUCUCUUGUUUUUUUACUCAGCACAUGGUAAGCCUCAGCUCAGAUUGAAAAAGGAUGAGUAACAAAUUGGAGCAUGAGCUGCUUCCUUUGACUUUUGAGUGAAUGCUGCGGAAGAUUUAAGGUCUGUUUUCAAGUUAUACCCCCAAUCCCAGGAGAAGUAUACCAGCAAAUGUACAAGUAGUAGACCACCCAAGAAAAAUUCCUUUCGUUAUGAGCGUCGAUCUUCCUCUUGUGAUGGGCUGGAUUCCCUGCAAAGUGCAUCGAUCUUCCUCCAGUAACUUGGAUGUUCAACCUAUGUUAGUGAGCGUUAAUUCUACUCCUAUGUUGCUGUAAUUGUCUGGUCUUUAAUUUGAGUGCUAAAAUCAAGAGAGCAUAAACAUUCUGUCCAUACCAUAAAUCAAGAGUGCUAAAGUCAAGAGAGCAUAAUUUAGUAAUGAUGGCUACUCCUAUUGGAGGGACUGUUGGAUUUCUCAUUGAUUGGAAUACCAACAAUCCACA